GGUUAAGCGACUAAGCGUACACGGUGGAUGCCCUGGCAGUCAGAGGCGAUGAAGGACGUGCUAAUCUGCGAAAAGCGUCGGUAAGGUGAUAUGAACCGUUAUAACCGGCGAUGUCCGAAUGGGGAAACCCAGUGCAAUUCGUUGCACUAUCGUUAACUGAAUACAUAGGUUAACGAGGCGAACCGGGGGAACUGAAACAUCUAAGUACCCCGAGGAAAAGAAAUCAACCGAGAUUCCCCCAGUAGCGGCGAGCGAACGGGGAGCAGCCCAGAGUCUGAAUCAGCUUGUGUGUUAGUGGAACGGUCUGGAAAGUCCGACGGUACAGGGUGAUAGUCCCGUACACCAAAAUGCACAGGCUGUGAACUCGAAGAGUAGGGCGGGACACGUGGUAUCCUGUCUGAAUAUGGGGGGACCAUCCUCCAAGGCUAAAUACUCCUGACUGACCGAUAGUGAACCAGUACCGUGAGGGAAAGGCGAAAAGAACCCCGGCGAGGGGAGUGAAAAAGAACCUGAAACCGUGUACGUACAAGCAGUGGGAGCACCUUCGGGUGUGACUGCGUACCUUUUGUAUAAUGGGUCAGCGACUUAUAUUCUGUAGCAAGGUUAACCGUAUAGGGGAGCCGCAGGGAAACCGAGUCUUAACUGGGCGUUAAGUUGCAGGGUAUAGACCCGAAACCCGGUGAUCUAGCCAUGGGCAGGUUGAAGGUUGGGUAACACUAACUGGAGGACCGAACCGACUAAUGUUGAAAAAUUAGCGGAUGACUUGUGGCUGGGGGUGAAAGGCCAAUCAAACCGGGAGAUAGCUGGUUCUCCCCGAAAGCUAUUUAGGUAGCGCCUCGUGAACUCAUCUUCGGGGGUAGAGCACUGUUUCGGCUAGGGGGUCAUCCCGACUUACCAACCCGAUGCAAACUACGAAUACCGAAGAAUGUUAUCACGGGAGACACACGGCGGGUGCUAACGUCCGUCGUGAAGAGGGAAACAACCCAGACCGCCAGCUAAGGUCCCAAAGUCAUGGUUAAGUGGGAAACGAUGUGGGAAGGCACAGACAGCCAGGAUGUUGGCUUAGAAGCAGCCAUCAUUUAAAGAAAGCGUAAUAGCUCACUGGUCGAGUCGGCCUGCGCGGAAGAUGUAACGGGGCUAAACCAUGCACCGAAGCUGCGGCAGCGACACUAUGUGUUGUUGGGUAGGGGAGCGUUCUGUAAGCCUGCGAAGGUGACCUGUGAGGGUUGCUGGAGGUAUCAGAAGUGCGAAUGCUGACAUAAGUAACGAUAAAGCGGGUGAAAAGCCCGCUCGCCGGAAGACCAAGGGUUCCUGUCCAACGUUAAUCGGGGCAGGGUGAGUCGACCCCUAAGGCGAGGCCGAAAGGCGUAGUCGAUGGGAAACAGGUUAAUAUUCCUGUACUUGGUGUUACUGCGAAGGGGGGACGGAGAAGGCUAUGUUAGCCGGGCGACGGUUGUCCCGGUUUAAGCAUGUAGGCUGGUUGUCCAGGCAAAUCCGGAUAAUCAAGGCUGAGGUGUGAUGACGAGGCACUACGGUGCUGAAGUAACAAAUGCCCUGCUUCCAGGAAAAGCCUCUAAGCAUCAGGUAACAUUAAAUCGUACCCCAAACCGACACAGGUGGUCAGGUAGAGAAUACCAAGGCGCUUGAGAGAACUCGGGUGAAGGAACUAGGCAAAAUGGUGCCGUAACUUCGGGAGAAGGCACGCUGGUGUGUAGGUGAAGCCCCUGCGGGUGGAGCUGAGACCAGUCGAAGAUACCAGCUGGCUGCAACUGUUUAUUAAAAACACAGCACUGUGCAAACACGAAAGUGGACGUAUACGGUGUGACGCCUGCCCGGUGCCGGAAGGUUAAUUGAUGGGGUUAUCCGUAAGGAGAAGCUCUUGAUCGAAGCCCCGGUAAACGGCGGCCGUAACUAUAACGGUCCUAAGGUAGCGAAAUUCCUUGUCGGGUAAGUUCCGACCUGCACGAAUGGCGUAAUGAUGGCCAGGCUGUCUCCACCCGAGACUCAGUGAAAUUGAACUCGCUGUGAAGAUGCAGUGUACCCGCGGCAAGACGGAAAGACCCCGUGAACCUUUACUAUAGCUUGACACUGAACAUUGAGCCUUGAUGUGUAGGAUAGGUGGGAGGCUUUGAAGCGUGGACGCCAGUCUGCGUGGAGCCAACCUUGAAAUACCACCCUUUAAUGUUUGAUGUUCUAACGUUGGCCCCUUAUCGGGGUUGCGGACAGUGUCUGGUGGGUAGUUUGACUGGGGCGGUCUCCUCCCAAAGCGUAACGGAGGAGCACGAAGGUUAGCUAAUCCUGGUCGGACAUCAGGAGGUUAGUGCAAUGGCAUAAGCUAGCUUGACUGCGAGCGUGACGGCGCGAGCAGGUGCGAAAGCAGGUCAUAGUGAUCCGGUGGUUCUGAAUGGAAGGGCCAUCGCUCAACGGAUAAAAGGUACUCCGGGGAUAACAGGCUGAUACCGCCCAAGAGUUCAUAUCGACGGCGGUGUUUGGCACCUCGAUGUCGGCUCAUCACAUCCUGGGGCUGAAGUAGGUCCCAAGGGUAUGGCUGUUCGCCAUUUAAAGUGGUACGCGAGCUGGGUUUAGAACGUCGUGAGACAGUUCGGUCCCUAUCUGCCGUGGGCGCUGGAGAAUUGAGGGGGGCUGCUCCUAGUACGAGAGGACCGGAGUGGACGCAUCACUGGUGUUCGGGUUGUCAUGCCAAUGGCACUGCCCGGUAGCUAAAUGCGGAAGAGAUAAGUGCUGAAAGCAUCUAAGCACGAAACUUGCCCCGAGAUGAGUUCUCCCUGAGACUUUAAGUCUCCUGAAGGAACGUUGAAGACGACGACGUUGAUAGGCCGGGUGUGUAAGCGCAGCGAUGCGUUGAGCUAACCGGUACUAAUGAACCGUGAGGCUUAACCUU
rnacentral:rRNA from 1 species